CUUCAGCUGACAAGUCCCGAAUGAGACGAAACGUGCGUCCUGAAU
rnacentral:hammerhead_ribozyme from 1 species